rnacentral:rRNA from 1 species
CGUCACACAAGCGGUGGAGCAUGUGGAUUAAUUCGAAGCAACGCGCAGAACCUUACCUGGGUUUGACAUGCUUGGAUGCCGUUCCGAAACGGGAUUGGCUGCCUUCGGGUGAAACUUGCACAGGUGCUGCAUGGCUGUCGUCAGCUCGUGUCGUGAGAUGUCGGGUUAAGUCCUUUUAACGAGCGAAACCCUUACCAUUAGUUACCAUCGCGUUACGGCGGGGACUCUAAUGGGACUGCCGGUGUUAAACCGGAGGAAGGCGGGGAUGACGUCAAGUCCUCAUGGCCUUUAUGCCCAGGGCUUCACACGUGCUACAAUGGCCGUUACAGAGCGACGCAAUGCCGCGAGGCGGAGCAAAUCGCAAAAAACGGCCCCAGUUCAGAUUGCAGGCUGGCAACUCGCCUGCAUGAAGGCGGAAUCGCUAGUAAUCGCGUAUCAGCGAUGACGCGGUGAACUGUCGUUCCUGAGCCUU